UGGGGUAUAGAUCAGUGGUAGAGUACUUGCCUAGCAUGUGUGAGGCCCCGAGUUCAAUUCCAGUACCCCAA
rnacentral:tRNA from 1 species